rnacentral:rRNA from 1 species
CACACUAUCAUUAACUGAAUCCAUAGGUUAAUGAGGCGAACCGGGGGAACUGAAACAUCUAAGUACCCCGAGGAAAAGAAAUCAACCGAGAUUCCCCCAGUAGCGGCGAGCGAACGGGGAGGAGCCCAGAGCCUGAAUCAGUGUGUGUGUUAGUGGAAGCGUCUGGAAAGGCGCGCGAUACAGGGUGACAGCCCCGUACACAAAAAUGCACAUAUUGUGAGCUCGAUGAGUAGGGCGGGACACGUGGUAUCCUGUCUGAAUAUGGGGGGACCAUCCUCCAAGGCUAAAUACUCCUGACUGACCGAUAGUGAACCAGUACCGUGAGGGAAAGGCGAAAAGAACCCCGGCGAGGGGAGUGAAAAAGAACCUGAAACCGUGUACGUACAAGCAGUGGGAGCCUCUUAAUGGGGUGACUGCGUACCUUUUGUAUAAUGGGUCAGCGACUUAUAUUCUGUAGCAAGGUUAACCGAAUAGGGGAGCCGAAGGGAAACCGAGUCUUAACUGGGCGUUAAGUUGCAGGGUAUAGACCCGAAACCCGGUGAUCUAGCCAUGGGCAGGUUGAAGGUUGGGUAACACUAACUGGAGGACCGAACCGACUAAUGUUGAAAAAUUAGCGGAUGACUUGUGGCUGGGGGUGAAAGGCCAAUCAAACCGGGAGAUAGCUGGUUCUCCCCGAAAGCUAUUUAGGUAGCGCCUCGUGAAUUCAUCUCCGGGGGUAGAGCACUGUUUCGGCAAGGGGGUCAUCCCGACUUACCAACCCGAUGCAAACUGCGAAUACCGGAGAAUGUUAUCACGGGAGACACACGGCGGGUGCUAACGUCCGUCGUGAAGAGGGAAACAACCCAGACCGCCAGCUAAGGUCCCAAAGUCAUGGUUAAGUGGGAAACGAUGUGGGAAGGCCCAGACAGCCAGGAUGUUGGCUUAGAAGCAGCCAUCAUUUAAAGAAAGCGUAAUAGCUCACUGGUCGAGUCGGCCUGCGCGGAAGAUGUAACGGGGCUAAACCAUGCACCGAAGCUGCGGCAGCGACACUAUGUGUUGUUGGGUAGGGGAGCGUUCUGUAAGCCUGUGAAGGUG